GAUGAACGCUGGCGGCGUGCCUAAUACAUGCAAGUCGAGCGAACAGACGAGGAGCUUGCUCCUCUGACGUUAGCGGCGGCCGGGUGAGUAACACGUGGAUAACCUACCUAUAAGACUGGGAUAACUUCGGGAAACCGGAGCUAAUACCGGAUAAUAUAUUGAACCGCAUGGUUCAAUAGUGAAAGACGGUUUUGCUGUCACUUAUAGAUGGAUCCGCGCCGCAUUAGCUAGUUGGUAAGGUAACGGCUUACCAAGGCAACGAUGCGUAGCCGACCUGAGAGGGUGAUCGGCCACACUGGAACUGAGACACGGUCCAGACUCCUGCGGGAGGCAGCAGUAGGGAAUCUUCCGCAAUGGGCGAAAGCUUGACGGAGCAACGCCGCGUGAGUGAUGAAGGUCUUCGGAUCGUAAAACUCUGUUAUUAGGGAAGAACAAAUGUGUAAGUAACUAUGCACGUCUUGACGGUACCUAAUCAGAAAGCCACGGCUAACUACGUG
rnacentral:rRNA from 1 species